rnacentral:rRNA from 1 species
UACGUAGGGUGCGAUCGUUGUCCGGAAUUAUUGGGCGUAAAGAGCUUGUAGGCGGUUUGUCGCGUCUGCUGUGAAAAUCCGGGGCUCAACCCCGGACUUGCAGUGGGUACGGGCAGACUAGAGUGUGGUAGGGGAGACUGGAAUUCCUGGUGUAGCGGUGAAGUGCGCAGAUAUCAGGAGGAACACCGAUGGCGAAGGCAGGUCUCUGGGCCACUACUGACGCUGAGAAGCGAAAGCAUGGGGAGCGAACAGGAUUAGAUA